UACAGAGGUCCCAAGCGUUGUUCGGAAUUACUGGGCGUAAAGCGCGUGUAGGCGGUUUCAUAAGUCGGGUGUGAAAGCCCCGGGCUCAACCCGGGAAGUGCACUCGAAACUGUGAGGCUAGAGUAUCGGAGAGGUUGGUGGAAUUCUCGGUGUAGAGGUGAAAUUCGUAGAUACCGAGAGGAACACCGGUGGCGAAGGCGGCCAACUGGACGAAUACUGACGCUCAUGCACGACAGUGUGGGGAUCAAACAGG
rnacentral:rRNA from 1 species